UGAGCUUGAAUUGACUGAUCAGCCUUUUGGUUGGUAGGAAAGUCCGGACACCCCAAAUUUUGAAAACAAAUUUUGGACAAAGAUAGUUGAUAACGUCAACCCAUUUCCGGGCGAUCGGAAUUGCGGGAUAGCGCCACAGAGACAAUACUAGUUUCAAUAUCAUAAUUGGAACGAAAGGUGAAAAGUGAAUGAAAGUUCAAUUUUGGGUCAAACCAAUCUUGAGCUAUCAUUCUCAACUGUCAGUGAUGGCAGUUAGUGGCAAGCCCUAUCUGGUGCAAGGCCGUGUCUUCGCCUUUGGCGGAGAAGUGCCGCUAGAGCCAAAAAGUGAUUUUUGGCCAAGAUUAAUGGUCAUUUAAACAGAAUCCGGCUUACCAAGCUCAGUCC
rnacentral:RNase_P_RNA from 1 species